CACCACACUUAGCAGCCUGUACCCUUACUUAUGGCACCUGCCAGUGUCACCAACUCCUACCACGUCCCCACUGCGUAGCAAAACAUCUGCUUCCAGCCAAGGAGUAGAGCCAUCCAGCCCUUCCAGGAGAAGCCCAGGAACAGCCUUGGCUUUCCCCACUGCUGCCAGAGAAGACAAGGAUGAGGCCUCCCUGCAAGAGGAGUUUUCUGCCAACAGGUGCCAAAGUUAAGUGACCACAUUCCUUCCCUGUGCCCCUGCUAAGCCUGGAUCAUUCCCUGCAGGGAGAGGGAGCAGCCACUGCCCGUUACCAGAGUGUCUCCCUCAGGAGCGAGCACUGCGGUGAAACCCAGGAGCUGAGCUGUGGGUUCGGGGUCAAACGUUGUGGUGGAGAAAAAUGGCAUUUUAGGAGCAGAUGGGGGUUGGUUUGCUUUUCCUUCACACUGGAGGGUGAGGUGUCCAUCACCCGGGGCUAUGCAGGCAGCAUGGAGGGGUUUGGUGGAUGGGGCACCCUCAGGAGUCUGCUCCUCUGGAAGCCAAACCUGUUCAGUCUGGAGGCCAAACUUGCUGAAAAGGGUCAGAGGAAGGAAUUUGCCUCCAGGGAUGUAGAGAGACAGCCCCAAAACUUCAGCGAGCACUAAACUUGCUCAUAAUUUCACCCUGACAAUAAUGCCCAUGGCUGCUGGAUCACUCUGAUCCAUGCAGGGCACAAUUUGAGACCGGGCUUGGUUGGGGAUUUUUUUCUCAUUUGAAUGAUAACUCAGGCUUCAAAUCUCAUCUUACUCAUGUCACUCACACUAAUGAGCCCAGGCCCGAUCCGGCAGGGUGUGUGUGGGUUUAUUUCAGCUCCCUGCAGGCAGGAGCUGGGCAGGAGCCCAAACCCAGAGCAGCAGCCGCGGGUCCGUGCUGGGCUCGGCACUCGCGGGUCCCGCUACAAGCCCAGAGCUGCGGCCACACAGCCCUGCCAGCACAACCUGCUCUUGCCAUCUAGUGGCAAAAUCACCCCGGGAAGGCUCAACACUGGACUGAGGAGCCAAGGACGAGGUCAGGAAGGGAAGGGGGGGUAAGGGAGAAAUGCAUGGAGAGGGUUUGUACUGUUCAAGCAGGUUCUUUCCAAGUUGUUAUAGCCGUGAGGAUGCCCUGCUAUGUGGGGUUGGUGCCACAGGUCUCAGCCUGCCAGUGUGACAUGGCUGUGCUUGGCUGUUUCCAAAUACCCUCUGCCAGCAGCAGAACCCAGCGCUGGAGGUGCAAAUCCCCCUGCACGGCCACCUAAGAGUGGCUGCUGGGGUUUAAUACCAGGACCAGCUUGGGCUCAUUGGCACGGGAGUGGUUUGAUGUCACCCACAGCAAAGCCCUGACCUCCCUCCAGGUUCCUGCUCUCCCCCAGUGCCACCCCUGUCUGUGCUAGGAAGGCUCUGGGCUCCAAGGAGCCAGUGUCCACAAGUGACCAGGGUCAGGUUUGGGCUGUUUGCACUUUGGGAAUUUGCAAUAGAGCUGCAGUGUGUUGCCACUUACUUUUUAUAUUUCUUUUCCCAUAUUGUCAUUUUUGUGGAAUUUGGGAGUGAUGACAGGAUUUGCUUUUUGUUUAGUUCAGGAGUGUUUAAAACAAACCCAAAAUGUCAAGAGGGCAUGUUCAUCUCUGCUCAGCUCUUUGGGCCAGGCUGGAAUGGGAAAAGUUAACCCAAAUUGCUCUAUGAUUCCAUAUGGAAGGUGGGGAGGGCUCUGCCCUCUCCCCAAAUCUCCUUGUGAUCCCACAGCAGCCCUAGGAAGCCCACUCCUUUCCACCCCAGCAGACUGCACUCUGCAAAGCCUCCCAAAAACAGAAGGGGCAGCUUUAGCAGAAAUUAAAAUACCGCAAGAUCCUGCUGCGGUUUUGUUUUUAAAAAUGCCUGAGUGCAUUUGUGUUGAUUUAUUUUUAAUACAAGCAGCGAUCUGUGAGCUUUGGGUGUUAUUUCUAUGUGUUCCCUUUGGCAGAGGUGGGUCUUCAGUGGUAGGCACAGGCCCUGCUCUGCCCCCAGGGCACUAAAUAUUGCCUCUUCCCCGUGCUACUGUACAGCUGCACAUAUUGUGGGGGCUUAAAGAGCUGUGAAAAGCCUUGUCUUUGGUUUUUUAACCUUCCCCCCCCUCCUUUUUUUUUCCCCUUUAAUCUUAGCUGGCCCUUAACAUCCUCUCUGAGAAAGACUUCAGCCUGUUCACUGUCUGUGAGCCGGGGGAAUAAGCUGGAUGUUCAAGGUCACAGUUAACCUAAUCUCAGUGGUGAGACCUGCCCAGGUGUGAACUGGGUGCAGCAAUUAAAGCUUAUCAGAAGAAAAAACGGGUCAAGAAAAGAUCUCUGAGAGGGCACAACAGGGAUCAUUAAGAAGUAAGUGGCAAAUCAUCUCAGGAAAGGAAACAUUUAACCUGGUUAUUUAUUUAUUUUUAAGUGCAGAUGGUGGGGGGAAUAAAAGGCUGCAAGAAGACCAAGAGUCAUGGGGAUGCUAUAUAUAGCUGUACAGCUGUUUCCUUCAGGUGUUAUAACUCAGAAACGUAGGAUGAUUAAUUUUGAAAGUUGAAAUGUAUAGUGGAUUUGAUUACAUCUGAGUGUCUAUAAUUUAGCUACUUAGUAAAAUUAACUUGACGUUUUUAGUGAGCUGUGAGGACAAUA